rnacentral:ncRNA from 2 species
CCUGCCUGACCGGGGUGCCCAUGAUCCGUGGGCUGAGAUCAUACCCGUUGAACCUGAUCUGGGUCAUGCCAGCGAAGGGAGGCUGUCCCGACGGGAC